GUCUUUUGAGAUGGAGUUCCACUCUUGUCGCCCAGGCUGGAGUGCAGUGGCGCAAUCUUGGCUCACUGCAACCUCCGCCUCUCAGGUUCAAGUGAUUCUCCUGCCUCAGCCUCCCGAGUAGCUGGGAUUACAGGUGUGAGCCACCGCACCCAGCCUUCAAAAUACAAUUCUAAAACGUAAUUCAAAUGCUCCAUACAAGAACUCUCAGGUAGUCCAAAAUUAACAAAUAUCAAAUAUUAGUAUAACUUAUGAGAUGAGUUAGUGAAUAUUUUGACCAUAUUGUAAAAGAAUCCCAAAGCACUAAAAAGUAAUUUCAACAGUAUAAAAUCUUGUUGAAAAGGUAUAAUAAGCAGACCAGGAGUUCGAGACUAGGCAACAUAGUGAGACCACGUCUCUACAAAAAAAAAUUUUUUUUUUUAAUUAGCUGGGCAUGAUAGGGUGCGCCUAUAGUCCCAGCUAUUCAGGAGACUGAGGAGGGAGGAUUGCUUGAGUUCAGGAGGUCGAGGUUGCAAUGAGCCAUGAUCACACCACCACACUCCAGUCUGGAAGACAAAGCUAGGCCCUGUCUCAAAAGAAAAAAAGUACAAUCAAAUAGUUUAAUGAACUUCAAAAGUAAUUUCUGAGAUCCUGUAUAUCUCAUACCUGUGUUUAAACACCUGAAAAAAAUAGAUAAAAAUUCAAAACUUCAAAAAAUAUGAAGGAAAUAUCAUUUGUCUUAGAAACAACGAAAAUUCAUUAAAAACUCAGAAGCCUUUAUUAUAUUUUAAAUUACUAAAACUCAGCACAUCUGGAAAUUCUGAAUACUUGUUGACUGAAUUUCUGAUUUACAGAUUUGAUAUGUAGAGAUGGUGGACAUCACCACACGUAUAGAAAGGAAAACAAUUUUUGUUAAGUUAUACAUCUUCAUCACUAUUAUACUUCAAAGUAGUGACCUUGGGAACCUUAUUCCAAAAAUGGAAAACAUCUUUGGAGCCUGUGUAAAAGCCACACAAAAGUCAGUUCUAUCAUUUUGGUUAAUCUUAAGUAUUUUACCCCAUUACAUAUUAUUUAC
rnacentral:lncRNA from 1 species